GUCUAAUGUACCAACACCUAGUGCUUAUGAGAUUUCAGAGGUAUAUCUCAAAAAUAAAUACAAGAAAAUGAAAAAAUAUAGUGUCAUUUGAGCUUAUUUCGAAAGACUGGGGAGUUACCAUCAUGUGAUGGAUGAAGUGGACCAACUCCAAAAAGCAUUUUAAAUUUUAUUGUGUAUUCAAAUCAUGUAACUUUGGGAGUAAAGAUAAAAAUU
rnacentral:misc_RNA from 1 species